rnacentral:rRNA from 1 species
AGUGAACGCUGGCGGCGUGCCUAAUACAUGCAAGUCGAACGGAGUGGCGCACGGGUGAGUAAUGUAUAGCUAAUCUGCCCUACACUAGAGGACAACAGUUGGAAACGGCUGCUAAUACUCUAUAGUGUAGGAUGAGGCUAUAUUGUAUCAGCUAGUUGGUGAGGUACUGGCUCACCAAGGCUAUGACGCAUAACUGGUCUGAGAGGAUGAUCAGUCACACGGGAACUGAGACACGGUCAGGAGUCCUACGGGAAGGAGCAGUAGGGAAUAUUGCUAAAGGGGGGAAAGCCUGAAGCAGCAACGCCGCGUGGAGGAGUACACUUUUCGGAGCGUAAACUCCUUUUGGUAGGGAAGCGGUACCUAACGAAUAAGCACCGGCUAACUCCGUGCCAGCAGCCGCGGUAAUUC